rnacentral:lncRNA from 1 species
CGAGGGCUGGCUCGAGUGGAACGGGAACUUCGCGCUCGACACGCUCUACUACGCCGAGUACAUGAACUACGGGCCCGGUUCGGGGCUGGCCGGCCGGGUCAAGUGGCCCGGGUACCGCGUUCUAACCAACUCGGCGGACGCCGUUAAUUUCACCGUAGGUCAGUUUAUUGAUGGGAACCUCUGGCUGCCCUCCACUGGGGUCAAGUACACCUCUGGUUUGACGGCGUGACGAAUAUAAAAGAGUUUGAGGGAGGAGAAAGAAAAGUUGGUGGUGAGUUGUCGAUUUGUUUUGGAUUCUUUGGCAUGAUGC